rnacentral:ncRNA from 2 species
UUCUUAUCAAGAGUGACGGAGGGAAUGGCCCAAUGAAGUCCGACAACCAGCAAUAUGAGAUGCAUGUUGUAUGGUGUUAAUUCCAGCAGUUUAACUGACAGAUAAGAA